GGCGGAGGUGCCGGCGCCAGGCCAGGCAGGGGGACGCCAGGCAGGGGGAGGCCAGGCAGAGUGAGGCCCGCGUUACCUCUGCCUCUAGGAGUCUGGGCGCACAGACAAGCUCGCCCCAAGGCGCCCUGCUUCGCCCACACCCCGCUCUUGCCGCGCGUGCCAGCCGGGGGCACGGGCGUCCCCGCCGCCUGCAGAAGGAGCAGUCGCAGCAGCCUCGAGCGACAGCAUCCUCAGGAGAGACGCCCCAGGCUCCGCAGCCGCCUGCCUCCUCCCGGGGGCGAACGCCGCCGCCCGUUCCCUGCGCUCCUUGUCACGGUCGCUCCUGCCCCGCCGCCUGGCCGCCGCUUGUCCGCCCGCGUCCUGCUCUCUCCACCUGCCGCGGCCCCCGGACAAGAGGGCGCAGGGCAGAGAAGGCGCGAGAAGCGAGCGAGCCCAACCCCGCAUCCCCACUCAGCGAGGAAAAGGGACACUGCCAACACCAAGAGCCCCGGCGCUGCCUGCACCGGGUCCCCAAGUUAAGGGGCGACACCCCUCGGGGGAGGGGCGGGUGAAGGGAGGGCUAUCCCUCGCAGUGAGCAUUCCGUCCCCAUCGACCUCAGCCGGCCCGCGGACUCCAAGAGCCUCUUGUACCUGCGCCCCAGACGCCCUCCCGGGGUCCCCCGAGACGGCCCGCGCGCCCCGUUACCCCGCGCCCCGGCUGGGCCAUGCCAGGGCUGCGCCGGGACCGCUUGCUGACCCUGCUGCUGCUGGGCGCGAUCUUCUCCGCCGACCUCUACUUCCACCUCUGGCCCCAAGUGCAGCGCCAGCUGCGGUCCCGGGAGCGCCCGCCCGGCUGCUCGUGCUCCGGCCGCCCCUCCUCCCUGAACCCAGACUCGGCCGCAGCCUCCUCCGACCCUGGCACUGUCGCGCACAACUUUUCCCGAGCCCGGCCCGAGGCUAAGCAGGACGGCGGCGGCCGGUCCAAACUGCAGGCCCUCUUCGCCCACCCGCUGUACAACGUCCUGGAAGAGCCGCCGCUCCUCGGGCCCGAAGACUCGCUCCUGCCCAGCCAGGAGGCGCUGCGCUAUUACCUGAGGAAGGUGGCCCGCUGGAACAGGUGAGGACCCCGCGCGCCACCGAGACCCGAGCGCGCCAGCCGCCCUCGCCUAGCCGCUGGUUUCCC
rnacentral:lncRNA from 1 species